UUAAUUCGAACUGGUGCAGACAGUUGAAUACGCUAUUAGGCAAAUGGUGCAACUGGCAAUAAAUCAUACAAAUUCAUUCAUUCUCGCUUAUUGGGCUCAACCUUUGGUUAUGUACCCAGUCACAAAUUUGUUGGAUUUCUCCUAAUUUUCUCACAUGUAUUACAUAUAAUUCACACUCGCAUUCAUCCUUAUGUCAACAUACAAUUUUUAUUAUUUCUCAAAGACUUGAACAACCACUAAACAUCCAUGCCCUUGCCGGGAUUCGAACCCGGUACCUUAGCUUUGGCAGUCGGGAACCAUCCCACUGCUGCCACCAAGGAAGGGGAUCUUUCAAUAAUUUGCUGUUGAGUAAGCAAUUCCCGUCUAGAUGCUGAUGUGACACAGGAAUGUGAAAUAGUUCAUGAACAGUAAAUUUUAUUCCACAAUAUAUUCGAUAUAAUAUAAUCUCUUUUACAAAUACAAUGUGAUCAUGAUAAAUUCAAAUGAAAAGUUCAUUUUUCUCA